rnacentral:piRNA from 1 species
UACUGUAGUCUCACUCUUGAUAUGCGC